ensembl:lncRNA
CACAGAUCCAAACCAGGAUUGGCCAUCUAGUUUCAGCCACAGGAUAUUUUCUUCCCAGAGGAUUAUUGUAAUAAUUAUUAUAAAAUGUGUGUGUAUAUAUAUAUAUAUAAUUGUUCACUGCAAAUGGACAAUGCCCCAAAAUGAAAUGUAUUUGAAAGUAUUCAUGUUAUACCUUGAUUACAUUGAGACACAAUCACUUGGGGAUAUUUCCUAACAGAUUUCUUAAAAAAAAAAAAGAAGAAAAAAUACAAUUUUGGAUGAGUUUGUGCUGAUUAAAAGUUAUUUUGACCCAGAAAAAAUUAUCACUUACCAGGUGGCCUUUUUCUACCCCUGGUCCAGAUUGUAACACUAAAUCUGUAUUUGAUAUGAGUCAUGUUAGAAGGCAACAAUGUCGAUCAGCAAUAGGAAUCCAUUUUACUCUGGAAGGGUAAUCUAUGAGGCUGCUUUUAUGGUAACUGAGAGAAUGGGCACAGUCAUUUCUGUAUAUUUAUUGAACUGAAUAUAUUAAAAGGAUAUUCUUAGACUUUCUUUUGAAGGGGUUAUGUUACUGGACAGAUGUCUGCAAUAAAAUGAAAUUUGAUCUUGGUCAUUAGCUCUCCCCUCGGACAACGGAGUCUUUUCACCUAACGCAGCACUGCUGACCCUGGAUAAGCCACUCAUCGUUGACCGCUCGAAGUAGAAUGGGAUCCUUGGUGCAUGCUCGAACUCGCUAAACCAAUUUUUGACUUGCUGUGUCCAUUUGCAGUGAUGUGCAUUCGCACAUGCAGUGGCUUCAGGUUGUGCUCCAGUGCUCCAGAUGCUGUCUGCUUAAUUACCUGUCUGACCGACCGACUCCUAAAAUGUUCCUGUGGCAGCUGUUUGGGGGGGUGGGGUGGGGGGGUAGGUUCUCACACAUUACUACGGAAGUCCCAACCCCAAUAACCCCCAUCCCAUGUCCCUUGGGGGACAGUAGCCCAGCUGGUUUCCCCUGUCGCACUAGUACAGAGAAAGGGAUGGGGAAACAGAGUCUGUUUGUGCUCAAAGCGUUUCCCUGUCCCUCCGGCUGUAUGUUUGUGCUCUGAAACGUCACGCCCUUAGGACUGUUUCACCCCAUAGCAAGGGUGUUGUUCAUUAGGCACUAGACCAACCAAAACACGGAAAGACUACCUGGACUUGGUCCAAUGAAAAAGCUUGUUUUCAUUUUCUGUGAAAAACACUUGAAUCUUUUUUUCUUUUUGGGGUGUACACUAAUGAAUAGGACCCUGGGCAAUGUUCCCAGGCACCUGCACCUACCACUGCCUGCCCUGUUCUGUACCAGACUGAUGACUGAUGAUGGGAUAAAACAAACCCCUGAAGGCCAGACAGUGAAUAAAAAUCUCUCAACGUUGG